rnacentral:rRNA from 1 species
UACGAAGGGGGCUAGCGUUGCUCGGAAUCAUUGGGCGUAAAGGGCGCGUAGGUGGCCCGGUCAGUUCGUGGUGAAAGCGCGGGGCUCAACCCUGCGUCGGCCAUGAAUACUGCCGCGGCUGGAGCACUGUAGAGGCAGGCGGAAUUCCGGGUGUAGCGGUGGAAUGCGUAGAGAUCCGGAAGAACACCGGUGGCGAAGGCGGCCUGCUGGGCAGUGCUGACACUGAGGCGCGGACAGCGUGGGGAGCAAACAGG